CAGUCGCCGCGGGAAUACGUAGGUGGCAAGCGUUGUCCGGAAUUAUUGGGCGCAAAGCGCGCGCAGGUGGUUUAAUAAGUCUGAUGUGAAAGCCCACGGCUCAACCGUGGAGGGUCAUUGGAAACUGUUAAACUUGAGUGCAGGAGAGAAAAGUGGAAUUCCUAGUGUAGCGGUGAAAUGCGUAGAGAUUAGGAGGAACACCAGUGGCGAAGGCGGCUUUUUGGCCUGUAACUGACACUGAGGCGCGAAAGCGUGGGGAGCAAACAGGAUUAGAGACCCCCGUAGUCCCUGUCUCUUAUAC
rnacentral:rRNA from 1 species